CACGUAGGGCGCAAGCGUUGUCCGGAAUUAUUGGGCGUAAAGAGCUCGUAGGCGGUCUGUUGCGUCCGCUGUGAAAACUCGGGGCUUAACCCCGAGCCUGCAGUGGAUACGGGCAGACUAGAGGUAGGUAGGGGAGAAUGGAAUUCCCGGUGUAGCGGUGAAAUGCGCAGAUAUCGGGAGGAACACCAGUGGCGAAGGCGGCGACCUGGGCUGAUACUGACGCUGAGGUGCGAAAGCGUGGGGAGCAAACAGG
rnacentral:rRNA from 1 species